AACGCACAUUGCGCCCUUUGGUAUUCCGAAGGGCAUGCCUGUUCGAGCGUCAUUAUAACCACUCAAGCCUUCGCUUGGUAUUGAGGCUCGCGCCCCCGCGGCCCCUAAAAUCAGUGGCGGUGCCUGUCGGCUCUACGCGUAGUAAUGCUCCUCGCGUCUGGGUCCGGUAGGUUGCCUGCCAGCAACCCCCCAAUUUUUUACAGGUUGACCUCGGAUCAGGUAGGGAUACCCGCUGAACUUAA
rnacentral:misc_RNA from 1 species